rnacentral:pre_miRNA from 1 species
AAAAAGACAAACCCUAGGUUUCCGUGUUCAAUGUUUGACCGUCCGUCUUAUUUGAAAAAAUUAUAAAAAAAAUUAAAAAGACAAGUCACGCAUAAAGUAUUAAUCAUGUUUUAUCAUCUAACAAUAAUGAAAAUACUAAUUAUAAAAAAAAUUCAUAUAAGACGGACAGUCAAACGUUGGACACGGAAACCCAGGGUUUGUCUUUUU